AACGAACUCUGGCGGCAUGCCUAACACAUGCAAGUCGAACGAAGCCUUCGGGCUUAGUGGCGCACGGGUGCGUAACGCGUGGGAAUCUGCCCUUGGGUUCGGAAUAACAGUGAGAAAUUACUGCUAAUACCGGAUGAUGUCUUCGGACCAAAGAUUUAUCGCCCAAGGAUGAACCCGCGUAGGAUUCGGGAGUUGGUGGGGUAAUGGCCCACCAAGCCGACGAUCCUUAGCUGGUCCGAGAGGAUGAUCAGCCACACUGGGACUGAGAAACGGCCCAGACUCCUACGGGAGGCAGCAGUGGGGAAUAUUGGACAAUGGGCGAAAGCCUGAUCCAGCAAUGCCGCGUGAGUGAUGAAGGCCUUAGGGUUGUAAAGCUCUUUUACCAGGGAUGAUAAUGACAGUACCUGGAGAAUAAGCUCCGGCUAACUCCGUGCCAGCCGCCGCCGUAAAAC
rnacentral:rRNA from 1 species